rnacentral:lncRNA from 1 species
AAAAAAUGGCUUUGCAUGGUAUGAUUGGAGUUCUUAUUUCUACAUUUUUCCUUGUAUAUCUUGUAAAGGUAUCUCUAUCUCUUCUGAAAGUAUUUGCUUGAAGUGAACUAUUCAUUUCGUAAGCCAUAAUGACAUGAUUGUGCUUGGGCAACGUUUAGGUGCUAUUGAUCCGGAAGCUAACCACUAUAUUUGAUGGGAAAUUCUCUAUGAAUGGGUAACCAUGUCAGUCUUUGCUAAUCAUUAAAAAUUUUGGAUUUAGCAUCAAGGUGAAUUUAUUGUCUUUAUUCUCAAGCUUAACUGCUUACAGAGAUUUGGAAAUCAGUUAUAAUCUUCAUUCUUUUUUAUUUGUAGGCACUGGUUUGGCUUUUGGACAUUGCAUUCUCUUGGUUGGGUU